rnacentral:rRNA from 1 species
UACCAGCACCCCGAGUGGUCGGGACGAUUAUUGGGCCUAAAGCAUCCGUAGCCGGUCCUGCAAGUCUUCCGUUAAAUCCAGCUGCUCAACAGAUGGGCUGCGGGGGAUACUACAGGGCUAGGAGGCGGGAGAGGCAAGCGGUACUCGAUGGGUAGGGGUAAAAUCCGUUGAUCCAUUGAAGACCACCAGUGGCGAAGGCGGCUUGCCAGAACGCGCUCGACGGUGAGGGAUGAAAGCUGGGGGAGCAAACCGG